rnacentral:misc_RNA from 1 species
GAUCAUUAAAAUAAUACUUACACUUUGCAUUUGCGAACAAAAAAAUAAAUCUUUUAUUCGAAUUUCUUAAUAUCAAAACUUUCAACAACGGAUCUCUUGGUUCUCGCAUCGAUGAAGAACGCAGCGAAUUGCGAUACGUAGUAUGACUUGCAGACGUGAAUCAUCGAAUCUUUGAACGCACAUUGCGCCUCGAGGCAUUCCUCGAGGCAUGCCUGUUUGAGCGUCGCAUCCCCUCUAACCCCCGGUUAGGCGUUGCUCCGAAAUAUCAACCGCGCUGUCAAACACGU